GAUUUCUGGUAUGGUGCGCUUGGUCCGCCCCGUUUUAGGUGUGUGAGUACCGAUGCGCGCCUACCAUCCUUCUGGGGAGUACGUCUACCCUUCACUGGGCCGGGCGUACGACCUAGAUCGUUUACUUUGAAAAAAUUAGAGUGUUUAAAGCAGGCAUUUUGCUCUGAAUACAUUAGCAUGGAAUAAUAAGAUAGGACUUUGGUUCUAUUUUGUUGGUUUCUAGAACUCGAGUAAUGAUUGAUAGGGAUAGUUGGGGGUGCUAGUAUUCAGCGGCCAGAGGUGAAAUUCUUGGAUUCGCUGAAGACUAACUUAUGCGAAAGCAUU
rnacentral:rRNA from 1 species